rnacentral:rRNA from 1 species
GAUGAACGCUGGCGGUGUGCCUAAUACAUGCAAGUCGAGCGAACAUAUGAGGAGCUUACUCCUCUGACGUUAGCGGCGGACAGGUGCGUAACACGUGGAUAACCUACCUAUAAGACUGGGAUAAAUUCGGGAAACCGGAGCUAAUAGCGGAUAACAUGGUGAACCGCAUGGUUCAACAGUGAAAAACGGUCUUACUGUCACUUAGAGAUGGAUCCGCGUCGCAUUAGCUAGUUGGUAAGGUAACGGCUUACCAAGGCAACGAUGCGUAGCCGACCUGAGAGGGUGAUCGGCCACACUGGAACUGAGACACGGUCCAGACUCCUACGGGAGGCAGCAGUAGGGAAUCUUCCGCAAUGGGCGAAAGCCUGACCGAGCAACGCCGCGUGAGUGAAGAAGGUCUUCGGAUCGUAAAACUCUGUUAUUAGGGAAGAACAAAUGUGUAAGUAACUAUGCACGUCUUGACGGUACCUAAUCAGAAAGCCACGGCUAACUACGUG